CCCUAGUAUGAAAAGUUAUAAUUAAUUAUUAUGUAAUGAAAAUUAAAAUUUUUGGCGGUUAAAUCUUAUUUAGAGGAGCUUGUUUUGUUAUAGUAAUUACUCUUUUUAUUUAAUUAUUCAUAUGUUUAUUUAUCUCCGUUAUUAGAUUUUUAAAUUAAAUAAGAAGAUCCUUAUAUUUCAGGUCAAGAUGUAGCAAUGAUUAAGAAAAUUAGCUACAUUUAUGUAAAAAUGGAUUUUUGUUUGAAAAAAAAGAUGAAAUUGAAUUUAAUUGUAAUAUAAUUUAGAAAGAUUAUAUGAAUUUUUACAUUUUAUGUA
rnacentral:rRNA from 1 species